UCAAUACUGCCAGUGUUUCUAAUUGUGGAAACAACAAUAGUACUAUUGUCUCUAAUUCUUGCUCAUUAUGGCAUAUGAUAUUAGGCCAUGCCCCAAUUGAGGUGAUUAGAAAUCAUGAGUUUCUCACCACAUCGUUUUCCUCAUUUCUGCUUCUAUUUGCCUUAAUUAUUGGAUUUAUAUGUGAUCGGGUUGGUUGGCUAGAGUUUGGAAAGGUUUUGAGAUGGAUUGAGACACUUAGUCUCUUUUUAAGAAGGCUUAAGUUAGAAAAGUAACUGAAUGUUGACUUAUGCGUUAGAGGGCUCCAAUGUGAAUUCCGAUGGUUUGAAUAGCUUCAAGAGAUGAUUUGGGACUUAGGAGUGUGAUCAGAAUGUGUUUUGUACGUUUAGAGUAGAUUUCGGCUUGAAUUGGAAAAGUUGAUAUUUUGAUAAUUUCCGGUUGGUGGGUGAGAUUUUGAUUUAGGGGUCGGAAUGGAAUUUUGAGAGUUUCAGUAGCUUCGUUAUUUCAUUUGGGAUGUGUGAGAAAAAUUUCACAUUAGGACAUGGUUUGGUUGGGUUUUUUAUCAAACGCGUAAUGCAGAAGAUUUUAGAACCUUAGGCUUGAAUUCAAUGUGUUUUGGUGAUUUUAAUAUUGUUUGAGGUGUUUUGGUAAUUGGUACAAGUUUGAAUAAGGUAUUGGAAAAUGUUAGUGACUUUGGUUGAGGUCCCGAGGGCCUCGCGUGAGUUUCGGGUGGUCAAUUCGAACAUUUCAUGUUGUUAAGAAUUGGCAGAAAAAAUUGUAUGUGUUGUAGAGAAUUUGAUCUUCGCGUUCACAAGUAGGUCCUCGCGUUUGUGAAGGGUUAACUGGUGA
rnacentral:lncRNA from 1 species